rnacentral:rRNA from 1 species
GAUGAACGCUGGCGGCGUGCCUAAUACAUGCAAGUCGAGCGAACAGAUGAGGAGCUUGCUCCUCUGACGUUAGCGGCGGACGGGUGAGUAACACAUGGAUAACCUACCUAUAAGACUGGGAUAACUUCGGGAAACCGGAGCUAAUACCGGAUAAUAUAUUGAACCGCAUGGUUCAAUAGUGAAAGACGGUUUUGCUGUCACUUAUAGAUGGAUCCGCGCCGCAUUAGCUAGUUGGUAAGGUAACGGCUUACCAAGGCAACGAUGCGUAGCCGACCUGAGAGGGUGAUCGCCCACACUGGAACUGAGACACGGUCCAGACUCCUACGGGAGGCAGCAGUAGGGAAUCUUCCGCAAAGGGCGAAAGCCUGACGGAGCAACGCCGCGUGAGUGAUGAAGGUCUUCGGAUCGUAAAACUCUGUUAUUAGGGAAGAACAAAUGUGUAAGUAACUAUGCACGUCUUGACGGUACCUAAUCAGAAAGCCACGGCUAACUACGUG